AGCGAACGCUGGCGGCGUGCUUAACACAUGCAAGUCGAGUGCGCGUCCGUAGCAAUACGGAUGGCGCACGGCGCACGGGUGCGUAACACGUGGGCAAUCUGCCCUCGGAUGGGGGAUAACCCCGCGAAAGCGGGGCUAAUACCGCAUGACAUUCCGACGACUCCGGUCGUUGGAUUCAAAGGCCGCAAGGCCGUCUGAGGAGGAGCCCGCGCCCGAUUAGCUUGUUGGCGAGGUAACGGCUCACCAAGGCCAUGAUCGGUAGCCGGUCUGAGAGGAUGGCCGGCCACACUGGAACUGAGACACGGUCCAGACUCCUACGGGAGGCAGCAGUGGGGAAUAUUGCGCAAUGGGCGAAAGCCUGACGCAGCGACGCCGCGUGGGGGAUGAAGCUUCUCGGAGUGUAAACCCCUUUCGACCCGGACGAAUGACCCGCAAGGGUUUGACGGUACGGGUAUAAGAAGCCCCGGCUAACUACGUGC
rnacentral:rRNA from 1 species